UACGUAGGGGGCGAGCGUUGUCCGGAAUCAUUGGGCGUAAAGCGUUCGUAGGCGGUUUAUCAAGUCUGGUGUUAAAGCCCGGGGCUCAACUCCGGAUCUGCACUGGAUACUGGUAGGCUAGAAUGAGGUAGAGGUAAUGGGAAUUCCUGGUGUAACGGUGAAAUGUUUAGAUAUCAGGAGGAACAUCGGUGGCGUAAGCGCAUUACUGGGCCUUUAUUGACGCUGAGGAACGAAAGCUAGGGUAGCAAAC
rnacentral:rRNA from 1 species